rnacentral:rRNA from 1 species
AUUUUAGAUAAAUUCUGCUCAAUGAGUAAGUUAAAUAGCUGCAGUAAAUUAACUGUACUAAGGUAGCAUAAUAAGUUGCUUUAUAAUUAAAAGCUUGAAUGAAAGAAAUAAUGUGAAAGAAGCUUUUUAAACUAAAAUAGUGAAAAUUAAUAUUUAAGUGAAAAAUCUUAAAUAGAAUCAAAAGACAAGAAGACCCUUUAGAACUUUACAAAUUGAUUUAAUAUCAUUUAGUUAAUUUGUUAAAUUGGGGAGAUUUUUAAAUAAAUAAAUCUUUAGAUAUAAAAAAAUGAUUUAAAUCAGAUUAAAUUAUCCAAAUGUGAAAUAAAACAAGUUACCUAAGGGAUAACAGCGCAAAAUUUUUGAGAAGUUCUCAUUUACAAAAUAAAUUGCGACCUCGAUGUUGGAUUAAGAACAACUUAUAAAGAAAAAUU